AAAAGUCUCUAUCGAGGUUAAAGGUACCCGUACCGCAAACCGACACAGGUGGGUGAGGAGAGUAUCCUAAGGUCAGCGAGAGAACUGUUGUUAAGGAACUCGGCAAAAUGACCCCGUAACUUAGGGAGAAGGGGUGCCACCAUCAGGUGGCCGCAGAGAAUAGGCCCAAGCGACUGUUUACCAAAAACAUAGGUUUCUGC
rnacentral:rRNA from 1 species